GACGAACGCUGGCGGCGUGCCUAAUACAUGCAAGUCGAGCGAGCGGAACUAACAGAUUUACUUCGGUAAUGACGUUAGGAAAGCGAGCGGCGGAUUGGUGAGUAACACGUGGGGAACCUGCCCCAUAGUCUGGGAUACCACUUGGAAACAGGUGCUAAUACCGGAUAAGAAAGCAGAUCGCAUGAUCAGCUUUUAAAAGGCGGCGUAAGCUGUCGCCAUGGGAUGGCCCCGCGGUGCAUUAGCUAGUUGGUAAGGUAAAGGCUUACCAAGGCGAUGAUGCAUAGCCGAGUUGAGAGACUGAUCGGCCACAUUGGAACUGAGACACGGCCCAAACUCCUACGGGAGGCAGCAGUAGGGAAUCUUCCACAAUGGACGAAAGUCUGAUGGAGCAACGCCGCGUGAGUGAAGAAGGUUUUCGGAUCGUAAAGCUCUGUUGUUGGUGAAGAAGGAUAGAGGUAGUAACUGGCCUUUAUUUGACGGUAAUCAACCAGAAAGUCACGGCUAACUACGUG
rnacentral:rRNA from 1 species